rnacentral:rRNA from 1 species
CCUACGGGCGGCAGCAGUGAGGAAUAUUGGUCAAUGGACGAGAGUCUGAACCAGCCAAGUAGCGUGAAGGAUGACUGCCCUAUGGGUUGUAAACUUCUUUUAUAAAGGAAUAAAACGAGGCACGUGUGCCUUUUUGCAUGUACUUUAUGAAUAAGGAUCGGCUAACUCCGUUCCAGCAGCCGCGGUAAUACGGAGGAUCCGAGCGUUAUCCGGAUUUAUUGGGUUUAAAGGGAGCGUAGAUGGGUUGUUAAGUCAGUUGUGAAAGUUUGCGGCUCAACCGUAAAAUUGCAAUUGAUACUGGCAGUCGUGAGUACAGUUGAGGUAGGCGGAAUUCGUGGUGUAGCGGUGAAAUGCUUAGAUAUCACGAAGAACCCCGAUUGCGAAGGCAGCUUACUAAACUGUGACUGACAUUGAUGCUCGAAAGUGUGGGUAUCAAACAGGAUUAGAUACCCUGGUAGUC